GAUGAACGCUAGCGGCAGGCUUAACACAUGCAAGUCGAGGGGUAACAGAGAGUGCUUGCACUUUGCUGACGACCGGCGCACGGGUGCGUAACGCGUAUACAAUCUACCUCUUACUGAGGGAUAGCCCAGAGAAAUUUGGAUUAAUACCUCAUAGUAUGUUAGAGUGGCAUCACUUUAAUAUUAAAGGUUACGGUAAGAGAUGAGUAUGCGUUCUAUUAGCUAGUAGGUAUGGUAACGGCAUACCUAGGCAACGAUAGAUAGGGGCCCUGAGAGGGGGAUCCCCCACACUGGUACUGAGACACGGACCAGACUCCUAC
rnacentral:rRNA from 1 species